ACAGCGAAUUCCGAAAAGCUGUGAGAGAGUAGGAG
rnacentral:ncRNA from 1 species